rnacentral:rRNA from 1 species
UACGUAGGUGGCAAGCGUUGUCCGGAAUUAUUGGGCGUAAAGCGCGCGCAGGCGGUCCUUUAAGUCUGAUGUGAAAGCCCACGGCUCAACCGUGGAGGGUCAUUGGAAACUGGGGGACUUGAGUACAGAAGAGGAAAGCGGAAUUCCACGUGUAGCGGUGAAAUGCGUAGAGAUCGGCAGGAACACCUAGGGGGAAACCAGCUGCCUGGGCAAGCGCUGACGCUGAGGUGCGAGAGCGUGGGGAGCGAACCGG